rnacentral:misc_RNA from 1 species
AAGUCGUAACAAGGUUUCCGUAGGUGAACCUGCGGAAGGAUCAUUAUUGAAUACGAUUGGUACUGAUGCUGGCUACUUUGUAGCAUGUGCUCGUCCAUCUAUUUAUCUUCUCUUGUGCACAUUUUGUGAUUCUGGAUUGAUAUGCUGGUUCUCUUAAUUGAGUUCUGGCGCCUCGUCUUUGGGCGGAUUGGGGAUUGAGUUCACUUGAUUGUGUUCACUCUCCCUGUUAUCAUCUGGUCUCAUGUUUUCAUAUACCCUUAUAAAGUUACAGAAUGUCUAUUAUCGAUUGCGUUAACUCGUGAUCUUUAAACCUAUACAACUUUCAGCAACGGAUCUCUUGGCUCUC